rnacentral:lncRNA from 13 species
CUCCAGUGAUAUAAUCAUUUCAAUAUAUAUGUAUUGUAUCAAAUGGUAGGUUACAGUAGCCUGCAAUGGCUUAUAAAGUAAUAGCCUACUUGAUGGCCAAUAUAUGCAAAUGUAACCUAUGAUUAUCCAUUUUCAAUGUGGACUUUUGACCAUAACACCAGCACACAAGGAAGUAACUUCCAUUCCAAAUUUCCACUCACNNNNNNNNNNAAGCAGAAUCUAUAAGAGAGAGUGUACAGACUGGGUCAAUAACCACUAGAAAUGUAAAAACAG